UACAGAGGCCUCGAGCGUUAGGCGGAAUCACUGGGCUUAAAGCGUGUGUAGGCGGACUUCUAAGUACCUUGUGAAAUCCCACGGCUCACCCGUGGAACUGCUUGGUAUACUGGUCGUCUUGAGCCUUCUAGGGGCGAGUGGAACAAAUGGUGGAGCGGUGAAAUGCGUAGAUAUCAGGAGGAACACCGGUGGUGUAAACGGCUUUCUGGACCAUAACUGACGCUGAGGCACGAAAGCGUGGGUAGCAAACAGG
rnacentral:rRNA from 1 species